rnacentral:rRNA from 1 species
GAGUUUGAUCCUGGCUCAGAAUCAACGCUGGCGGCGUGCCUAACACAUGCAAGUCGAACGCGAAAGGGGAGCAAUCCCUGAGUAGAGUGGCAAACGGGUGAGUAACACGUGGGUGACCUGCCUUCGAGUGGGGGAUAACGUCCCGAAAGGGACGCUAAUACCGCAUGACAUCCUGUCUUUGGACAGACGGAGAUCAAAGCUGGGGAUCGCAAGACCUGGCGCUUGAAGAGGGGCCCGCGCCUGAUUAGCUAGUUGGUGAGGUAACGGCUCACCAAGGCUACGAUCAGUAUCCGGCCUGAGAGGGCGGACGGACACACUGGGACUGAGACACGGCCCAGACUCCUACGGGAGGCAGCAGUGGGGAAUUGUUCGCAAUGGGCGCAAGCCUGACGACGCAACGCCGCGUGGAGGAUGAGGAUUUUCGGAUCGUAAACUCCUGUCGAGUGGGAAGAACAGCUUCCGGGCGAAUAUCCUGGAAGCCUGACGGUACCACUAAAGGAAGCCCCGGCUAACUCCGUGCCAGCAGCCGCGGUAAUACGGGGGGGGCAAGCGUUGUUCGGAAUUACUGGGCGUAAAGGGCUCGUAGGCGGCCAACUAAGUCAGACGUGAAAUCCCCAGGCUCAACCUGGGAACUGCGUCUGAUACUGGAUGGCUUGAAUUCGGGAGAGGGAUGCAGAAUUCCAGGUGUAGCGGUGAAAUGCGUAGAUAUCUGGAGGAAUACCGGUGGCGAAGGCGGCAUCCUGGACCGACAUUGACGCUGAGGAGCGAAAGCUAGGGGAGCAAACGGGAUUAGAUACCCAAUCCCGCGG